AGGGUAAUCGAGCUAAAGAUAAUUUAGUUAGGAAAGUCCAUACUAGCACAAGCUGAGAUGCUUGUAGUGUUUGUGCCUAACGAAUAAAUAAGUUAGGGAAUAGUUGAUGUCUAUUACGGCGAAUGAAACCUACGGAUUUAUCUAUGGUGUAGUUCUUAAGGUGCCACAGUGACGAUGGUCUUUGGAAACGAAGAAGUGGAACGGGUAAACCCCACAAGCUAGCAACCCAAAUUUUGGUAGGGGCACGAGAAUUAGAGGAAUUCAACUCAUAAUUCUUGCAAAGUUAUAAUACUUUGAGAUAAAUGAUUACCAUUCUUUUAGAAUACAGAAUAUGGCUUACA
rnacentral:RNase_P_RNA from 2 species